rnacentral:rRNA from 1 species
CUAACGCACUCCUACGGGAGGCAGCAGUGGGGAAUAUUGCACAAUGGGCGCAAGCCUGAUGCAGCCAUGCCGCGUGUAUGAAGAAGGCCUUCGGGUUGUUAAAGUACUUUCAGCAGUGAGGAAGGUGGGUAUGUUAAUAGCAUAUUCAUUUGACGUUAGCUGCAGAAGAAGCACCGGCUAACUCCGUGCCAGCAGCCGCGGUAAUACGGAGGGUGCGAGCGUUAAUCGGAAUUACUGGGCGUAAAGCGCAUGCAGGUGGUUUGUUAAGUCAGAUGUGAAAGCCCGGGGCUCAACCUCGGAAUUGCAUUUGAAACUGGCAAACUAGAGUACUGUAGAGGGGGUAGAAUUUCAGGUGUAGCGGUGAAAUGCGUAGAGAUCUGAAGGAAUACCGGUGGCGAAGGCGGCCCCCCUGGACAGAUACUGACACUCAGAUGCGAAAGCGUGGGGAGCAAACAGGAUUAGAUACCCUGGUAG